UGCAGUUAAAAAGCUCGUAGUUGAACCUUGGGUCAGGGAUGAACGGUCCGCCUCACCGCGUGCACUGCCAAUCCGGCCCUUUCCUUCUGGCAAACCUCAUGCCCUUUACUGGGUGUGUUGGGGAACCAGAACUUUUACUUUGAAAAAAUUAGAGUGUUCAAAGCAGGCAUUUGCUCGAAUACAUUAGCAUGGAAUAAUAGAAUAGGACGUGCGGUUCUAUUUUGUUGGUUUCUAGGACCGCCGUAAUGAUUAAUAGGGAUAGUCGGGGGCAUCCGUAUUCAAUUGUCAGAGGUGAAAUUCUUGGAUUUAUUGAAGACGAACUACUGCGAAAGCAUUUGCCAAGGAUGUUUUCAUUAAUCAGGAACGAAAGUUGAGGGAUCGAAGACGAUCAGAUACCGUCGUAGUCUCAACCAUAAACUAUGCCGACUAGGGAUCGGGCGAUGUUUUAUUCUGACUCGCUCGGCACCUUACGAGAAA
rnacentral:rRNA from 1 species